UUUAAUAGAUUGCAAUCGCAAUUUUCCAUCUUAUAAACAACAAAACCGCUAAAAGCCUCUCAAACUCCAAACUCUCUCCUCGUUUUUCAUUUUCGCGUUGUUCUCUUUUCUUGUCAUUAAAACCAGACAAGAGAAAACCAACCCUUUGAAUUUUUUUUUUUUCUAAAAGGUUAUCCUCUGCUUCUUUUAUUGUUUUCUCUGUAAGCAUAAUAUUUGGAGAGAUGGGCAACUGGAGAAAUCGACCGCACCGAAGAUUUUACCGACAAGAUAGAGCUCCCAAAUAUCCCCCUUCCUAUCAUGACCCUGAACCUUCUCUAUCUGAGUUUUGCAAUGAUGGUGUGCCUAUGUGGGAAAAGAAAUUCUGCACUUUAGUUGGAAGAAUAUCAUGGCGGAAGGUUGUUGAUGCCAAAAAGUCCAUUUGCUACAACAAUGAUGUACUAAAUUGGGAUGACUCAGCUGGAAAAGAAGCAUUUCAAAAUGCAAAAAAGCGCUAUUUGGCAGAGAUCAAUGGCUUCUCCUGUAACAUUUCUGCUCCUGAUCCAAAUGCUUAUAUUGAUGAAAUAAAUUGGAAUCCUUAUAUUGAUCCUGAAUUGAUUAGGGACUUAGAACAAGAAUACUUUGCUUCUAUUGAUGGAGAAAAAGAUGGCAAGGUAGGACAUGAAAACAAAUUGGCAAGAAACCUUUUGUCUGCUCCCUCGGAAGGGUGUAACAUGAACACUUGUAAGGUUGAUAAGCCUUGGGAAUGUAACAAUGCUACUCAAGGUAUUGAUGGUUCAAAGGAUCUUUUGGGUUGGGGCGGGUUGGUUACUAAAGUUGAUGAGUCAAUGAAUUUAAAUAGUAACAGAAAUAAUCCCUGGGAGAAUAGCAUUACUUAUGGAAAUGAAAGUGAAAAGCACAAUUCAUGGGGAGAUUAUGAGUCAAGGGAUUGGAAUACUGGCAAUGAUUCCUGCGGUCAUGGUUGUCAAGGCAUUGGCAAUAGGAAGGAUGAUGGAUGGAGAGACUUUAAACGGAAUUCUUGGGGAAGGAGCCAGUGCGAUUCUAAGAAGUUGUCUAACGGGGAAUAUGGCUUUGUUCAACUCAAUGGAGCUCCAAAUGAUCACGGGUGGGGUGAUUGUGGGAGAAAUUCAUGGGGUUGGAAGCUGAGGGAGAAUCAUAAUUUUGGGUCAAGAAAGUUAGACUUCAGAAGAACUAGCAGCAGGUGGGGAGCAUGGCCGAGUGGUUCAAGGAAGAGGGAAGGUUCUCACCAGUAUAUACCUGGUUACAAAAGGUCCAGGUUUCAACAGGAUGAUAAUCAGACAAGUUAUUGCUGAAGGAGUGCAAAACCUAAACAAGAAGUUUUUUGUUAGUGAAAUCAAAUUGGAGGAGGCAGCAGUUUACACUACACGUAUGCCAAAAUUUCAGACCUGACAUCUAGACGUUAUAGGCAAGGCUGCAAACCUACCAAGGAAGAUGUCAAAAGAUGCUUCAUUUUGGAAUUUGAUAGAGCUGAUGGACAAAGAGGACAAAUAAGAUGAAAGAAUGGAUAUGUAUUAUUUUUAUUUUUCAAAGAAGAGAAACAUAUUUCAUCAAACAGGUAAUAAACCAUAGCAAUAAAAAGACUAGGUGUUUGGGUGGCAUAAAAACACCAAAAAAAUUAUAACAAAAUAAUAAUGAACCAAUCAUUCUUGGAUUCUUUUUUCAAAACUCAACCAGAUGGUAUUUUUUAUCUUUUAAAGCUCAUUAAACCACAUUUGCUCCUAUGUUGUGAGGCCAUUACAUGAGGUUGCUUCCUUGUAUACCUAAGCCACUUUUUUAGGUUUUUAACUUGGAUAUAUAUAUUUUAAUUUUCUUUUUGUUUCAAGUAAAAUAUUUUUUCACAACAUUUGAGUUUACUGGAUGAGACAAAUAAUUUUCGUCCAUUUAUACUAAUAUUAAUGCCUUACCUAAGAAACUUUUUUCACAACAUAUGGAUCUUUUCAAUUUGGUGUCAAUUUUCUUCGAUUAUCGUGUUGAUUUGGAAGUAUCUUAUUUAGAACUAAGUCUCCUCAAAAGUAGUGAGGGUGAAUUUUCUUAUCAUGUAUUUCAUCAUUCUCUUCAGAUACAAUUGAUUAAGGAAAAGUGUUGUUAGUCUUUUAUCUUUAAAGAUGUUUAACUUUUAAUAGCGAUUUUAGACCUAUUUUGCUUCUUCUAGCUUAACUUCAAUUAAAAUUUUUAAUGGUGAAAUUUUCACUUCAACUGGCAACAUAGCUUCCAUCUCAUAAAUCAACGAAAAUGGGGUAGCCUUAUAAGAUGUUCGAACUGAUGUUCUAUAAGCAUAUAAGGUAAAAGAUAACAUAUCAUGUUAAUUUGUAAGUGUCCAUGAUCUUUUCUAGUAUCCUCUUAAUAUUCUUGUUUACAGCUUCUAUUGUCUCAUUCAUCUUCGAAUGAUAUGGUGUCAAAUUAUGAUAAUGGACCUUGAAUUGAGUGCACACUUCAUUUAUCAUUUUACUGUUUAAGUUUUUGGCAUUGUUAAAAAUAAUCCUCUUCAGAAGUCUAUAUCUGUAUAUUAUCUCCUUUAUGAAUUUGUAGACCAUUAAUUGAGUCACAUUAGCAUAUGAGGUAGUUUUUACACAUUUCAUGAAAUAAUCAAUUUUUACAAGAUGAAUCUAUACCUAUUUGAAGCUUUCAAGUUGAUGGGAUUGAUGACACCCAUACCUCACAUAAAGAAUGGCUAUGGAAGUGCUAAGACAUACAAAGCAAAUAGAUGUACGUGAAUCUUAUGCGCAUAAAUUUGACAUUUGUGACAUUUUCUAGCAUAAUUGAUACCAUAACAGUAAAAUUCUUAAUAUUAUUUCUAAUCAUUUUUUUUUUCAUAAUAUAAGGCUUUGAGAGUAUUGAUAAAUGGAAUCGUACUCUUUUUUUCAAUGAGCAGUGGUUAAACUUGGAUAGUAGGAUCCCUUCACCUCUAGUAUAUUUUUUAAAACUCUAAAUAUUUUUCUUUUUCAUGUUGUGUAAAGUCAAAUAGUCUAAUGCCAGAUUUAUGAUGAGCUUGUAUUGGGCAAUGAAAGCCCUUGCUAAAUCUUUUCAGCCACGAAUACAAGUCCUAUCUAAUUAUGCAUCCCAUUUAGCAAUAAAAUCAGUGAAACUUUCUUAAAAGACAUGGAUGAGCAACUUUUUAUCAUGUGUAUAUGCAGCUAUUUUACAAUAGUAUAAUAUGACAUGUGUUAUGGGCACUUGGUUCCAUUAUAUUUAUUAAAUUUGAGCACCUUGAAUUUUGGUGGAAUCACGGCACCAAGAACUAAGCAUAAUCCAGUAGCAUCCAUUAAUCCAUAAAAAUUUGUUUCUUCAAUAGUUCUCAGCCUUUCUUAUAUACGAUCCAUCUUUUAUUGUAAUCCAAAGUCUUUUGUUUUGUUUCUAUUAUGCUUAUUUUCAACUUCUCCUAUUCUUUUGGUUCAUCUAUAUUGGGAACUUAAGUUGGAUCAAAUCUUUUGACACUUUCUUGCACAUUUGAUUGCAACUGUCCAUUUUCGUUUAAAAGUUGGACCAGCUCACAAAUAGUGGAUGACUAUGUUAUGUUAAGGUUAGAGAACAAACUCUUCAAUUCAUCCUUUUCUUUUCUGAGAGCUUGAACCUCCUUUUUAAGCCUUUUGUUUACAAGUUUUAACUUCUCGACUUCUUUUCAGGUUAAUAAAGGAUUUUGCUAGGCUUUCCAUUGAUGUAAUCAAGAUUCUUUUUGUUAAAAUUAUUUUUAUGGCAAUCACUCCUUAUGAUAAAUCUAAUGAUGUAAACACAUGCACAUAUAGUAAAAAGAAAAGGUUAGUUACAAUAUAUGCAUGGAGUAAAAAUACUAUUUAACAAGUAUAAGAGUAAUAAAUAUCCUUUGUGUGACCUACUUAGGAUUUUCUAACAAAAGGAAAAGGUAGGGCUCUAACUUAGGUUUGGAUUCUUAAGGUUUAUUUAUGUGUAGGGUUCAAAGAUUUGACAAUCUAAAGGUUUUCAAAUUAUUUCUCACGUCAUAUUCUAUUAUGGACUAGUAAGACACCAAAUCCUCGCCUACCAUUAUAACCUUAAAUGAAAAAGGUUCAAUUUGAGUAAAAAUUUUUGCUAGCUCAUACGGAGGUUAUCAUUUCACAAGAGUGUAAGUACUUUCUCCCUCCUAAGAAAGGAUAAAGCUUAGGUCUAGAGAUUAUAUAUGAAUGUAGGUGUAGUGUGUGUGAAGGAACAUGCUAACCCUAAAUAAUCAAAUAAAUUGGUACACAUAUAAAAUCAAAAUAUACAAAAUAAACAAAUAAAUUAGUACGCAUAAAGACUCAGAAGCUACAAAAUAAAUAAAUAGGUUAGUACACAUGAAAAUCCACAAAUAAUUACAUAAUAAAACUAUCAAAGCAAGGCUUAAGAUAACAAACAACUAACUAAUGGCUUGACUUUAAUUUUUCCAGUAAAGUCACCAAACUAUUAUAAUAUUCAAGUUUGAGAACCUACUCUUUAGACAUAAAAAAAAUAGAGUCGUCACCAAUCUUUUUUUAUCUAGGUGUGAUUAGCCACCUAAAUG